GUCAGGCGUGCAGAUCUGUCACGGCUGCCCUCGACUUGCUGGGGGAGGGGCGUACAUUGACCGCGAAGGCUGCACGUAGUUCGGGUACCAAGGGCGGGAGGCGUGGUGCGCCCGGCGACCCGGAAGCGGGAGGCCAGCGGACCCAGCGGCCUGCGGACGGGACCCGGAUCGCACCCGCGAGAUGGCGGCGGCGACCGUGAGCAGCGCCAAGCGGAGCCUGCGGGCCGAGCUGAAGCGGCGUCUGCGGGCGCUGAGCGCCGAGGAGCGGCUGCGCCAGUCCCGCCUCUUGGCCCAGAAGGUGUUUACCCAUAGUCAAUAUCAAAAGUCCAAAAGAAUCUCCAUCUUUCUGAGCAUGCAAGAUGAAAUUGAAACAGAAGAGAUCAUCAAGGACAUUUUCCAACAAGGCAAAACCUGCUUUAUCCCACGGUACCAGUUCCAGAGCAAUCACAUGGAUAUGGUGAAAUUAGCAUCGCCUGAGGAAAUCUCUUCACUUCCCAAAACAUCCUGGAAUAUUCAUCAGCCCAGUGAGGUUGAGGUUCGGGAGGAGGCCUUGUCCACAGGUUCUCUGCUUUCCAGCACUACAAGUGAACCUGUAGAGAUGAGAGUCUACCAGGUUGACCCAGUUGAAAGUUGUAACGGCCGGAGGAAUCUCUGUUCGUCUACUCAGACCAGACCUGGGCGCCCACUCAGCACAGGCUCCGGAUGCGCAGACUCAGCGGCCAUGGCUCACGGACCCAGCCGUUCCGUGGCAUGUGGGAUCUUCCCGGACCGGGGCACGAACCCAUGUCCCCUGCAUCGGCAGGCGGACUCUCAACCACUGCACCACCAGGAUAUGCAUCAAACAGGAACUCAGGAUGGAGAAGAUUCCAUACGUGUAUACCCUGAGAAAACCAUAAUUCAAAAAGAGUCAUGUACCACAAUGUUCACUGCAGCACUAUUUACAAUAGCCAGGACAUGGAAGCAACCUAAGUGUCCAUCGACACAUGAAUGGAUAAAGAAGAUGUGGCACAUAUAUACAAUGGAAUAUUACUCCAUCAUAAAAAGAAACAAAACUGAGUUAUUUGUAGUGAGGUGGAUGGACCUAGAGUCUUAACUUCACUUCAUACAAAGUGAAUUAAGUCAGAAGGAGAAAAACAAAUACCAUAUACUAACACAUACGUAUGGAACCUGUAUAAUUCUUGAUGGACUUAAAAUAUCCCUGAAAAUUCUAAAAUAGCAUCAUGGAAUAUGAGAAUUCAGAGAGAACUUGCUGAUUCUCAAGUUAAAUCAUCUUGACUGUCUUACUGUUGUUGCUUGUUCAUAUGUUUGUUUUUAAUGGAGAAACCGAGGUCCAGAAGAAGGAGGUGACGUCUCAAAGUCACAGAAUAUUUGAGCACAGUGGAGGGCAGAUCCCAGCCCUAAUCAUCUCCUACAACAUGACCAUGGCAUUUGUGUGGCAUGACGUACGUCAUGCACCCAUUUUGUAAAUUAGACGAUGGAGUGAAUGGAGGAAAGGAAGUUUCCUGCUUUCUGUUAUUAUAUCUGCCCCACAGGCUAUAACAGUAUGACAUAGUCUAGUUACAGCAGGCAUUUCUCCCAUUGACGUUGCCCGCUUAGGAGAGUGGGGCCGGAAGAGGGUCUAGAUUGCCAGUAUUUGUGACCUGUAUCAGGAGGGGCUGAUGGCAGGAGACCCUAAUGAAAACUGCCAAGAUAAGGCAUUAUCUUCACUGUCAAGCAUAGAAUUACAAGUAGUGUUUUUCUGGUUAUCAAUUACUUAUACAGUUUUCCCCAGUCAUUCAGAAACUUGGUCCUCUACCUCACCAAGGGACAGGGGAGACUCAGAGCGAGGAACGAAUGCUUUUCUGUUCUCACGUGCUUGAGUUUUGCUGCUGUACUCCUCAUUCUGAAGGACAAAGUGUGCUAAUGACCAAACUUUAAGAGCUGAUUCAAGUCUGAUGUGUUCCAUCUCACCAUUAAAAAAAAAAAAAAAAAAAAGUGAAGCCCUACAGCCAGGUCCAAAAAGGGAGCUGUACACUACCAUAUGAUCCUGCAACCCCACUCCUGGGCAUAUACCUGGAGAAAAGCAUGGUCCAAAAGGAUACAUGCACCCCAGUGUUCAUAGCAGCACUGUUUACAAUAGCCAAGACAUGGAAACAACCUAAAUGUCCAUCAACAGAAGAAUGGAUGUGGUAUAUAUAUAUAUAUAUAUAUAUAUAUAUAUAUAUAUAUAUAUACACACACAUAAUGGAAUAUUACUCAGCCAUUAAAAAAGAAUGAAAUAAUGCCAUCUUCAGCAACAUGGGGUGGACCUAGAGAUUGUCAUACUGAGUGAAGUAAGUCAGACAGAGAAAGAGAAAUAUCAUAUGAUGUCGCUUAUAUGCAGAAGCUAAGAAAUCAUACAAAUGGAUUUAUUUACAAACAGAAACAGACUCACAGACUUAGAGAACAAACUUAUGGUUACCAGCGGGGAACGGGGGGAGGAGGGAUAGUUAGGGAGUUUGAGACUGACAUAUACACACUGUUAUGUUUAAAAUGGAUAACCAACAAGGACCUACUGCAUAGCACAGGGAGCUCUGCUCAAUAUUCUGUAACAAUCUAAUUGGGAAAAGAAUUUGAAAAAGAAUAGAUACAUGUAUAUGUAUAAUUGAAUCACUUUGUUGUACAUCUGAAACUAACACAACAUUGUUAAUCAACUGUACUCUAAUACAAAAUAAAAAGUUAAAAAAUAAAAUAAAACAGUGUGUCAGAAGUUAAGAUUAAAACAAAACAAAACAAAAAGGUAACUGUACAGGUAUAGGUGUGGGCAAUGCAACUGAAAGUUAGCCACUGUCCAGCUGUCUGUACAUUUAACGAGUAAACACGUGAUUGGAUUCUGAAGACACCCACAUGGUGUGAAAGUGCUGUGGAGUGUGUGUGGUCUGGAAACAGAAAGACCAAUGUUCUGACAUUUACUGACAUAUCUGACAUUUACUCACUGCUCACCUUUGGUUUUCUAAUCUAUAGAAGGGCAAUAACACAAGGUCAUUGCCAAUCCUUGGUGAGCUGAAGAAAAGUGAUUAGGAAGGGAAGAGGACCAAAACCCACCUUGCAGGUUCCUUUAGCAAUCAGGUAGGGUGACUUAUUUAAAGGACCUAGUGCUUAAGAUUUUCAUUACGUGGUUAGGACAAGUUAUGGUGAAGAGUCCAGUAGAAGCACACAGGCUUGAAGUCAAGUUUCACUUAGGUAUGUAUCAGAUAUUUAGAUUUUCAUUUAGGUCAUUUACUUAGUUGUAUGACCUUCAGCAAAUUCCUGCCCCUCUUUGAGUCUCCUCAUGGGAAAAUGGGGAUUAAAGACCAAUCUUAUGGUACUGUUUAAGGUCCUACUGCAGCUGCAUUGAAAGAGACACGGUUCACUAAGUCUGUGAGUCUGUUUCUGUUUUGUAAAUAAGUUCAUUUGUAUCAUUUCUUUUUAGAUUCUGCAUGUAAGCGAUAUCAUAUGAUAUUUCUCUUUCUCUGACACUUCACUCAGUAUGACAAUCUCUAGAUCCAUCCAUGUUGCUGCAAAUGGCAUUAUUUCAUUCUUUUUAAUGGGUAAUUCUGGACUUAUGCCAAUAAUUGGGCCAUAUCUUGACCCUGCAAUCCUACUCCUGGGCAUAUAUCCAGAGAAAACGAUGGCCUGAAAGGAUCCGUGCACCCCACUGCUCAUUGCAGCACGAUUUACAAUAGCCAAGACAUGGAAGCAACCUAAAUGUCCAUCAGCAGAGGAAUGGAUGAAGAAGAUGUGGUACAGAUCCACAAUGGAAUACUACUCGGCCAUAAGAAAGGACAAAAUAAUGCCAUUUGCAGCAACGUGGAUGGACCUAGAGAUUGUCAUACUGAGUGAAGUAAGUCAGACAGAGAAAGAGAAAUAUCAUAUGAUAUCCCUUAUAUGCGGAAUCUAAAAAGAAAUGAUACAAGUGAACUUAUUUACAAAACAGAAACAGACUUGCAGACUUAGAGAAUGAACUUAUGGUUACCGGGGGGAUGGGUGGGGGGAAGGGAAAAAGAAAAAGAAUUGGGCCAUAUCUUCCGAGCUAACUGAGCUAUUGAGAGCUUAGAUGAGCCCAGAAUUUUGGAACCUAUAAGAACCUCAAAAAUCAAGGAGUCCAGUCCCUCAUCUAUAAUUUCAGUUUCUUCUACAAUAUUCCUACAGUUGAUUUCAUGAAAACGGGUAAGAGUUCCUAGGAAUGGAGGUAUCAUGAGAAAAUAAGAUGAUGUUAUUUUUGCUAAAUUUUAGAUGUGGUAGGGAUGGAGAUUUAAGAACCACGGGCUCCAAGGAAGCCUGUGACCCGUCUCAAGCUGACAUCUAUUGGUGGUGUUCCUGUCCUUCAUUAGUACAGAUAAUGGGACAUGCAAUUCAGACUCUGUUACAAUGAGCACUACGGCAACCGGAAUUUUUGCCUAAUGAAACAGUUGCCGAGCUUCAACCCACAGCCCUCUGAUUCCACACACCAAUCAUCCCAGCAAACUCAAAUAAAAGAAUCCGGACAGUUCACUGAAAUUCACUGUGAUCCUAUUUGUCUCAGAAUUCAAACCACAUUAAGUGGGGAUGUGUGACAGUUCAUCUGGGCUCCUUUGCUUUGGCUUGCUGUGCGAAUCAGGAAUGGAUACCAGGGCAAUAUUUAACCCAGUGGAACAUGAGUAAAUACACGGAAACAACAUCCAAGUCCUCUUCAAACCGCUUUGGCAACGGUGAGAUUGAGGACAAGUAAUGAAAGUGCUAAACACAAAUAAUUUCAAUUCUUUUAAAUGCUUGCUGGUUUCAGAGCUCAGCUACUCAAUAUUUCUCCCAUAGCAUCAGCAUCACAAGAAAUUAAUAUAUGUCCUAUGGUCGAAUUUUUUCAAGUCUUUACCAUUUUCUCACUACCUCCUAUUCAGGGAACAUGUGAAGCUUUGUGAUAUGAAGACUCAGGGGAGCUUGGGAGGGCCUCUGGGAUUAUGGAAUCUGUGGUUUUAAUGCCUCGCAUGAGAAGAUGAGUUGUUAGGUCCCCAUUUCACAGGGACAAAGCCAGAUGGCAGAAAUUAAGAUUUGGGGAUUCAGAGAACAGCAACACAUGUUUAUGCUCUUGAGAAUAAACUUGGGAACAUCUGGUAAGGACAUGCAAUGCAUCUUUAGGGGCCAGGGUUAUCCUAUUCACUAGAAUGCAGAAGGGCAAAGUGGACGCUCUGGAGACGCAAGCUUGGGUUUGUAUCGCAGCUCUGCUCCCUAGACGUUGAGUCCCCUUAGCCUACAGACCUCCCCUGAUUGCCUCCCUGUAAGAUCACCUGUAAAAGGGAGGAAACUCCAGACUCCCAGGAUGUGGGAGGAUUGCUGGGAGGAGAUGGGGUAAUGCAUCCACAGCAGCCAGCUUGGUGCCUGACACGGACUCCUACUCACUGUGAUUCUCUUCCCCCUCAAGGAGCACUUGGGUUUACCCAUGUGCACACAGAGUCCCUGGAAACAGUACAUUCAAGCGACCAGUCUGGGGGCCCUUUAAAAAAAGAAGCAUCUACAGGAACAGUUAUGGGAAUGAUUGAUUAACUUUAACCAGUACAAUUCAUUAUGAAGGCCAGGAGGGAAGAUAUUCCCGUGACAAAUUGCUCGGCUGUUUUUUUUUCUGUCUUUACAUGAACACAUUUGUCAGCACAAGAGGUGGAGAGAAAAAUAAACGAAAGAAGUUCUAAUGUCAAAGAGACCUCUGAUUGAUUUAGUUCUGCAUGACUUUCUCAUUCAGAAUGAGACAAGGUAGUCUGUACGUAUGAGGAUAGCCCUUCCCCAGGACAGGAGAAUGGCCAGGUGACCUCAGGAGGUGGCUCCGGAGUAUCGUCCGCCCAGCCCUCAGCUUCUGUUCCCCCCCCACCUCUUUUUUCAGCAGGGAUGCUGGAAGAAAAGAGGGAGGGGGCAAAGAUAAAUGAAAGUAGUAUUUCCUUCUUUGACGAUGGCCUGAGUGUAUGAUGGCUAAGAACUUCAGCUUCAAAGUUGGAGAAAUCUGGAUUUGAAUCAAGUCCAAGUUCAAAGUUGGUAGCUGUGUAACUUCGGAUCUAUUUACAAAUCGCUCUGAGCCUCAGUUUCUGCAUUUAUAAAAUGGGCAUAACAAUACUUGCUUAUUAAAGAUGGGGUAAAUACUGAGUGAGACAAAUGACAUUUAUCGAUGUCUGAUAUUCUAUUCUAUUAUUCUUCAGCUUCUUUGUAUAUCUUAUGUAUCCCCACUCAAUUAUAAUUAGGGUAGGAAAACUGUGUGUUUUGUUCACCCCUGUAUUCUCAGCAUCUAGGACUCUGUCUAGCACAUAGCUGGCACUUUAUUAAGAUUGAUUAGAUGAAUAAAGAGUUUAGCCCAGUGUCGUUAUAUAGUAAGAUCUCAAGGUACAAUGGCUUUCAAACAUGCAGUGAAGGGGUGAAGGAAUCUUUGAGAUCUGAGAAGCCAACUUAGAUUUUGCUUUGAAAGGCAGCAUAGCAGAGUCAACAAGAAUGUGAACUCUGAUUCCACAACACCUGGGUUUAAAUUCCACAUCCCCACUUUUUAACCUUGGAUGAGUUACCUGACCCCUCUGGGCCUCUGUCUCCUCCACUGAAAAACUGGGUUGGCAAUAACAAUAGUACCCACUUCAAAGAAUGGUGGUGCACACGAGCGUGAUGCUUGGCUCAUUGUAAGAGUCUACUGUUCUUAGUUGGCCGUGGAUGGAGUGAGCUGACACGAAGAAGGGGCAUAACACAGCUGGAAUCAUCAAAUCCCAUGGGUCUUGAAUGAGCGUCAGAAGUCACGGCCAACUAGACUUUCAGAGGUGAGACCUGGGGCCUGGGCUGGUGUCAGGCCUGUGUAUCCCAUCCUGGGACUGAGGUUCGCUGCAGUUCCAGUCCCGUGGCAGGUCUGGGGAGGGUCCUUCCCUGUGGACGAGGCCUCCUUAAAGGCACAGGGUCUCACACUGGGGUGGGCACCACGGAGAGCACAAGGUGAUUCUCACUCCCAAGGAGGGCUUCUUUGAAAGCUCUUGUCACCUAGCUCACCACCCCGCACUCCGGGACUAAGAGCCUUUUAUUACAAGAUCCCAGGACACCUUUCCCCUUCCACGCGCGUGUGCCAUGGGGGUGAAGACUUGCUCCAUGUGUGUCUCUCCUGACAGACUCAGAUCAUGAGGCCAGGACCUGUGUCUGACUGUUCCCUCCUCUAGGCCCAGCAGCCGGCACUGUCCCUGGCACAUCAUAUGGCUUCAAUAAACAGUCUGUAGAAGGAAGGAAGAAAGGAAAGAAGGAGGGAGGGAGGGAGGGAAUCAGUUUAUAGGCAAACAAGGAAAGUCUAGGAACACGCAAAUGUUUGGCUGAAUUACACUUCCUGGGCCACAAAUGUGCCUCUUUGCUCUCUCUCUCUCUCUCUCUCUCUCUAAUUCAAUCCCUGCUGCUUGCAUUUCAGUAAUAAAACACUUCGGGUAUAACCUAUGCACCCGGAUUUCCCACGCAGACUCAGACACACAGGAGGUGGGUGCACUUGGGUCAGGACGCCCCACAGAAGAGCCCCAGCUGUGACCACAGGCAUUUGCAGACCCUGCACGAGGUUGGCUCCCACCUGACGGUGCCCUUCAGACCCGCACAGAACAUCCUCGUGCCCAAAGGUCUGGGGCCACUCUGAGGAGAGAUAGGGAACCAGGCCGGAGGAGCCAGAGCCCGAGCCUCAGGAAGCCUGGCACGUAGCUUGGAGCCAGCACUGCAGACAGUGAUUUAUUUCAGAGGGAUGUGUUUGCCUUCCAGCCGCACAGCCAGGGAGGCUUCUCUUCUCCACUGGCCAAGCACACAGACCCUCACACAUACACCCACACAUUCACACAAACAUAAACACGCUCUCUCACACCCAUACACGGAAACCCACACAAGCCUUGGGUAUACUAACACGCUCACACGCAUACUUACAACCACAUGCGGUGCACACGUUAAUCAUCCUGGCCAAAGUGAGAGAAGAGAAAACAUGAAGCCGUGUCCUGGCCUUUCACUUCCGCCCUCACGUGUGUGGCCCUCUUUGCUGAGCUCUGAGCCCCUCCCAUUAGGGAGCUGCUGAUGCUGACAGGCCCAGCUGGGCCUUGCGCGCCUUCCCAGUUGACCAGGUCUCCCUUGGCCAGGUCUCCCCAGUUGCUGGCUGCAGAAUUCCCCACACCAGCCCCUUCGGACCAUCCCUUUUCAUCCCUCUGUCUUUUUUUUUUUUUUUUUAUAAUAGUCAUGAGCAUUUAUUGAGCUUUUUUUUUUUAAUAUUGUUUUUUUUUUUUUCUUAUUGGGGUAUAGUUGCUUUACAAUGUUGUGUUAGUUUCUGCUGUACAACGAAGUGAAUCAGCUAUACGUAUACAUCUAUCCCCUCCCUCUUGGACCUCCCUCCCACCUCACCCCCAUCCCACCCAUCUAGGUCAUCACAGAGCACCGAGCUGAGCUCCCUGUGCUAUACAGCAGGUUCCCACUAGCUGUCUGUUUUACACAUGGUAGUGUGUAUAUGUCGAUCCCAAUCUCUCAAUUCAUCCCCCUCCCCGCCAUGUCCAUACAUCUGUUCCCUAAGUCUGCGUCUCUGUUCUUGCCCUGCAAACAGGUUCAUCUGUACCAUUUUUCUAGAUUCCGUAUACAUUCGUUAAUAUAUGAUAUUUGUUUUUCUCUUUCUGACUUACUUCACUCUGUUUGACAAUCUCUAGGUUCAUCCACGUCUCUACAAAUGACCCAGUUUUGUUCCUUUUUAUGGUUGAGUAAUAUUCCAUUGUAUAUAUGUACCACAUCUUCUUUAUCCAUUAGAGAAAUGCAGAUCAAAACUACAAUGAGGUAUCACCUCACACCAGUCAGAAUGGCCAUCAUCAAGAAGUCUACAAACAGUAAAUGCUGAAGAGGGUGUGGAGAAAAGGCAACCCUCUUGCACUGUUGGUAGGAAGGUAAAUUGAUACAGCCACUAUGGAGAAAAGUAUGGAGGUUCCUUAAAAAACUAAAAAUAGAAUUACCAUAUGACCCAGCAAACCCACCACUGGGCAUAUGCCCUGAGAAAACCCUAAUUCAAAAUGACACAUGCACCCCAAUAUUCGCUGCAGCACUAUUUACAAUAGCCAGGACAUGGAAGCAACCUAACUGCCCAUCACCUCUCUGUCUUUCCCAGCAAGUGAUAAACUCCCUGGCCUCCCUGUCCCCUCCAGCUCUUCUGCCCACCCACCACCACCACCCCCCGCCCCCGUCCCAGCAGGAGAUGGGCUGCAGGGCCUGGGGGAAGGAAGGAAGCGCACACACGGGCCUCAGAGUCGACCGACACAGGUCUGGUUCUUGCCUGCUUGCUUUCUGUCUGUGCAGAUUUGGGCAGGUCUGUCAGCCUGUCCUGAUCUUGAAUUUCCUCAUCUGCAGACCAUGACCCCUUGAAUCUGGGAUCAGUAAGUAAAUGAGAUAAGGAGCAGGACAGACACAGCGGGCGCGCUGUACCUGUUCAUGUCUUCACUCUGCUCUCUCUUCGCCAGGUGAAGCCCUCCAUCUGCACCUGGGUCCCUCUCCUUCAAAACACGAACCUUUCUGUCUGCUUGGGCUUCUGUCCCUUGACCUGUAACCAGGCCAUAAUCUUCUGCUUCCUAAAGAAAGCCUCCCUUGGGCUUCCCUGGUGGCGC